rnacentral:lncRNA from 1 species
GAAUCCGAGAGGAGGAAGGAGGAUGAAGAGCCUAUCCUGUGCCCCACCUCUGAUUGUGUAAGCGCCUUUAUCUAGGGUUGACCCCCUACCCUUUGCAUUUUGUCUCUUGGGAUGACGAGAAACGGGCAGAAACUCGAUGCCCAAGUGAAUGGUUCACAUUGAUUGGCAGGGAAAGUGCAAACAAAGAGGUGCAUCUCCGGGAAACAAUGAUUUUGGAGAUCCCCUGCUCACCACCCCAGACUUGUGCGCGGUGCGGAGGGGGCCAGGGCUGGCAUCUCCCGGGAAAAGUUUCGAGCCAGGCAGUGGGAGGAGACGGUCCGGGCAGAGUUGCGAUGAACUGGGGACCGAGCAGCCCCAGAUCGCCUCGGAGGUUCCCGAGCCGGGCGGGAGAUGCGGGGAGAGGGAGGGGUCGGGGAGGAGGGGAGGGAGAGAGGAAGAAGGGGUGAGAGGGAGAAACCUGCCGCCGCUCGCCGCCUCUUUGUCUGCUCCGGGACUUGGAACAAAAGGGGGAACUCUGAUGAACUCUCUUUCCUCCCCUCUCCCCGGACGCCGGGGUAUCUCCCUCUCGCAACUUUGCCGCCGCGACUUUCUCUGCUGUCAGGCCAGGAAAAAGUGUCCGAACGCCUCGCGGACUGCAGCGGGGGAAAUGUCCCUUAAAAGUGCGACGAAGUGGGGAAGAAGGUGUAAUUACUAUUAUCAGCAUCUAUAAAGCAUCAUGCAUUUGCUGGAGUACUUCCUAGCACUGACCUCCUUCCUUCUGCGUUGUUCUUACUGGAUCUUUCUAUCAGCCAACAAUAUGGAAGUACCAAUACAAGGUCAAAUCGUUCCUGGAUUCAUUUGGAGUUACUGAACAGUUAAAUCAUUGGAAGUUUUGGUGAUACCUUUUCUAUAUGGAUUACAAUUUGAUCUCUGGGAAUUCUCCACCGUAAAAAAGGUAUGUUGCUUUUUAGAUACUCUAUGAGGACUUCA